ensembl:snRNA U6 U6 spliceosomal RNA
GUGCUCAUUUUGGCAACAUUUAUACUAAAAUUGGAAUGAUAUAGAGAAGAUUAGCAUGGCUGCUGCGGAAGGAUGACAUGCAAAUUUGUGAAGCAUUCCAUAUAAAA